rnacentral:rRNA from 1 species
AGUGUAGUUAACACCUGCAUUAUUUGACGUUACCUACAGAAGAAGCACCGGCUAACUCCGUGCCAGCAGCCGCGGUAAUACGGAGGGUGCGAGCGUUAAUCGGAAUUACUGGGCGUAAAGCGCAUGCAGGCGGCCUGUUAAGUCAGAUGUGAAAGCCCGGGGCUUAACCUCGGAAUUGCAUUUUGAAACUGGCAGGCUAGAGUCUUGUAGAGGGGGGUAGAAUUUCAGGUGUAGCGGUGAAAUGCGUAGAGAUCUGAAGGAAUACCAGUGGCGAAGGCGGCCCCCUGGACAAAGACUGACGCUCAGAUGCGAAAGCGUGGGGAGCAAACAGGAUUAGAUACCCUGGUAG